UCGAGAAUCUUCGGCAAUGGGCGAAAGCCCGACCGAGCGACGCCGCGUGGAGGACGAAGGCCUUCGGGUUGUAAACUCCUGUCGAGGGGGAACAAGGGGUGGUGAAGAAUCAUCCUUGAGUGAUCCCUGGAGGAAGCACGGGCUAAGUUCGUGCCAGCAGCCGCGGUAAGACGAACCGUGCGAACGUUAUUCGGAAUCACUGGGCUUAAAGCGCGCGUAGGCGGGCCGGCGCGUCGGAUGCUGAAAGCCCCCGGCUCAACCGGGGAAGGGGCACCGAAACGGCCGGCCUGGAGUGGGGUAGGGGGAGCCGGAACUUCCGGUGGAGCGGUGAAAUGCGUUGAGAUCGGAAGGAACGCCCGUGGCGAAAGCGGGCUCCUGGACCCCAACUGACGCUGAGGCGCGAAAGCCAGGGGAGCGAACGGGAUUAGAUACCCCCGUAGUCC
rnacentral:rRNA from 1 species